GUCAAUCACAAGCUCUAAGGUUUCUAGUAGGCGAGUAGAUGCGGAAGCAGAUCUUGCAGCUAAAUGAGAACAGGCAAAGUGUAUAGAAGAGAUACAAGUUCAACAGACAAAACUUAUUAAGCUGGAAAGUGAAUAGAAACUCCAUGAGUCACAAAUGUUGAUAGAAAUGAAGCAGAAACAAGCAGAAGUGGAGCUGAAGUUAGAGGAGGAGAAAACAAAGCUAAGAAUGUUGCAAGCAAGUGUGACAGAUGGAAUGUGUAUUACCAGUAAGUCACAGCAAAAAGUGAAAGUAAUGUGUAUUAGCCUACCAGUAAGUCAGAGCAAGCAGUUGAGUAACAGCAGUUGAGGGUUCAUAUUGAGUAAUUUUGGCAUUUUCAUAUUUUAAUGGUAUAUCACAGUUUAUGGUUAAAGUUGUUAUUGUCAGUUGCAGCAGGUACAGUACAGUACGUUUGUGAUUUCUUAUUUUUCAUGUGCAAAAUGUCAUUCCAACACCAGCAGCAGUAAGUGUGAACAAGAGCAACACUAUGUAACUUUCAGCUG